rnacentral:rRNA from 1 species
CUACGGGGUGCAGCAGUGGGGAAUAUUGGACAAUGGGGGAAACCCUGAUCCAGCAAUGCCGCGUGUGUGAAGAAGGCCUGCGGGUUGUAAAGCACUUUCGGUUGGGAGGACUGCUUCUAGCACUAAUAUUGUUGGAAGUUGACGUUACCUUCAGAAGAAGCACCGGCUAACUCCGUGCCAGCAGGGCCGCGGUAAUACGGAGGGUGCAAGCGUUAAUCGGACUUACUGGGCGUAAAGCGCGCGUAGGCGGCUAGAUCAGUCGGGUGUGAAAGCCCCGGGCUUAACCUGGGAACUGCAUCCGAUACUGUCUAGCUUGAGUACAGGAGAGGAGAGUGGAAUUCCACAUGUAGCGGUGAAAUGCGUAGAUAUGUGGAGGAACACCAAUGGCGAAGGCAGCUCUCUGGCCUGAUACUGACGCUGAGGUGCGAAAGCGUGGGGAGCAAACAGGAUUAGAUACCCCUGUAGUC